CACAGGAGAGCUUGCUCUCUGGGUGGCGAGUGGCGGACGGGUGAGGAAUACAUGGGAAUCUACCCUGUCGUGGGGGAUAACGUAGGGAAACUUACGCUAAUACCGCAUACGACCGAGAGGUGAAAGCGGCGGACCGCAAGGCGUCGCGCGACUGGAUGAGCCCAUGUCGGAUUAGCUUGUUGGCGGGGUAACGGCCCACCAAGGCGACGAUCCGUAGCUGGUCUGAGAGGAUGAUCAGCCACACUGGAACUGAGACACGGUCCAGACUCCUACGGGAGGCAGCAGUGGGGAAUAUUGGACAAUGGGCGCAAGCCUGAUCCAGCCAUGCCGCGUGUGUGAAGAAGGCCUUCGGG
rnacentral:rRNA from 1 species